rnacentral:rRNA from 1 species
CCUACGGGGUGCUGCAGUGGGGAAUAUUGGACAAUGGGCGAAAGCCUGAUCCAGCCAUGCCGCGUGUGUGAAGAAGGCCUUCGGGUUGUAAAGCACUUUCAGUGGGGAAGAAAGCCUUGGGGCUAAUACCCUCGAGGAAGGACAUCACCCACAGAAGAAGCCCCGGCUAACUCCGUGCCAGCAGCCGCGGUAAUACGGAGGGUGUGAGCGUUAAUCGGAAUUACUGGGCGUAAAGCGCGCGUAGGCGGUCUGAUAAGCCGGUUGUGAAAGCCCCGGGCUCAACCUGGGAACGGCAUCCGGAACUGUCAGGCUAGAGUGCAGGAGAGGAAGGUAGAAUUCCCGGUGUAGCGGUGAAAUGCGUAGAGAUCGGGAGGAAUACCAGUGGCGAAGGCGGUCUUCUGGACUGACACUGACGCUGAGGUGCGAAAGCGUGGGUAGCAAACAGGAUUAGAUACCCUUGUAGUC